rnacentral:rRNA from 1 species
UACAGAGGUCCCAAGCGUUGUUCGGAUUCACUGGGCGUAAAGGGUGCGUAGGCGGUUGGGUAAGUCUGAUGUGAAAUCUCACAGCUUAACUGUGAAACUGCAUUGGAUACUAUCCGGCUAGAGGAAUGGAGGGGAGACUGGAAUACUUGGUGUAGCAGUGAAAUGCGUAGAUAUCUGGAGGAACACCGGUGGCGAAGGCGGCAUCCUGGACCGGCAUUGACGCUGAGGCGCGAAAGCCAGGGGAGCAAACGGG